UAUAUACUCCUCCAUCCCAAAAUUCUUGUUUUAAAUUUGUCUAAAUACGGAUGUAUCAAGUCAUGUUUUAGUAUUAGAUGCAUCCGUAUCUAGACAAAUUUAAGACAAGAAUUUUGAAACGGAGGGAGUACGUA
rfam:Triticum aestivum genome assembly, contig: Triticum_aestivum_CS42_TGACv1_scaffold_221077_3B